rnacentral:lncRNA from 10 species
AGUAGGGGUUUAUCAGUUUUGUUAUUCUUUUCAAAGAAACAACUUUUGGUUUUGUGGUUUUGUUGAUUUUUUUCUACUUUACAGUACUCUUCCAGAUUUUUUUUUUUUUUACUGAUAUUCUGCCUACUUGUUCUAGCAACUGAAAGAAAAGUGAGAAAGAGAAGUGUUGAGAAAACUAACUGUAAUAGCUUUAUCUAUUUCUCUUUUCUGUUCUGUCCAUUAUUGCUUCAAGUAUUUUAAGGCUCUGUUAGUAUCAGGCUUACAGACAUUUAAAAUUAUGUCUCUUUAAUUAAUUGAUUCUUACAUAUGUAACUAACCUGCACAACGUGCACAUGUACCCUAAAACUUAAAAUAUAAUAAUAAAAAAAAAAACAUACACACACACACACACAAAAAAAAAACAAACAUGUGGCAUUGGCUUUGGGACCAGAGGUGAGCAGAAGCUGGAAGUGACUUAAGAAGACUGUUAGUGAAGGUUUGAACAACAUUAAUGAAAACCUUAUGGUGGAUAGAUGAAUAACUCUUCUUAUGCAGUGGGAAGUUUGUAACACUGUUCCUCACAUGAAAUAGAAAAGACAAAAUAGGCCGGGCACAGUGGCUCACACCUGUACUCCCAACACUUUGGGAGGCCAAUGCGGAUGGAUCAUGAGGUCAGGAGUUCAAGACCAGCCUGGCCAACAUGGUGUAAUCCCUUCUCUACUGAAAAUACAAAAAAUUAGCUGGAUGUGGUGGCGGGCACCUGUAAUCCCAGCUACUCAGAAGGCUGAGGCAGGAGAAUCACUUGAACCCGGGAUGUGGAGGUUGCAUUGAGCCAAGAUCGCACCACUGCACUCCAGCCCAGGCGACAGUGCGAGACUGUUUAAAAAAAAAGACAAAAUAUACCCCCAUAAAGUGGUAAAUUUGGCUAAGAAGAUUUCUAGGCGAAAGGUUGAAAGUGGUGGUCUCCUUUAGCUAUCUAUAAGUUAUGGAUACACAAACUGAUGAAAGAACUGUUUCAUUUUCAAGUAGAAGUUAGAGGAAAAUUUUUAAAGAACCAGGACUUGAUCUUUUCAAAACUAAACAGUUUCUCAUCCCCAUUAUCUCUAGAGAGAAAUGUAAGAAAAAGCUUCAGAGUUACAGAAUUACUAUUAAGGCUUGGGGCCUACUACCAGUAAAGCGUGGUUUCAGGAUAAAAAUCUCUACAGCAUGGCUGUAAAACACCUUGUUGAGACUGAAAGACUAAAAUCGUAUCUAGUUCAGUUCUAAGAAUCUUAAGAGUAUGACACUUAGAUUCUGUUCUAAGGCAAAAGGCCUCUAAGAAUCUUGAUGAUGUGCACUUUGGACUCUUAAAUAGACAGAAAAGCUCAUAGGAAUAUUAUGGGUGUUGUUUCAAAAUACCUUGAC